AAACCAUGAUGAGCACACUCUAAGAGAAGAUCCUUAAAACGUUCCAUACACCUAGAAAAUGAUUCAUUUGGUUUUUGACGAAACUGGACAAUGUCGUUCAUAAGUUU
rfam:Cephalotus follicularis DNA, scaffold: scaffold3898, isolate: St1.